CCUACGGGUGGCAGCAGUAGGGAAUAUUGCUCAAUGGGGGAAACCCUGAAGCAGCAACGCCGCGUGGAGGAUGAAGGUUUUCGGAUUGUAAACUCCUUUUGUUAGAGAAGAUAAUGACGGUAUCCAACGAAUAAGCACCGGCGAACUCCGUGCCAGCAGCGGCGGUAAUACGGAGGGUGCAAGCGUUACUCGGAAUCACUGGGCGUAAAGAGCGCGUAGGCGGGUAAGCAAGUCAGAUGUGAAAUUCUAUGGCUUAACCAUAGAAUUGCAUUUGAAACUGUUAUUCUAGAGUAUGGGAGAGGUAGGGGGAAUGCGUGGUGUAGGGGUAAAAUGCAUAGAGAUCAAGAGGAAUACUCAUUGCGAAGGCGGCCUGCUAGAACAUAACUGACGCUGAUGCGCGAAAGCGUGGGGAGCAAACAGGAUUAGAUACCCUGGUAGUC
rnacentral:rRNA from 1 species